GGUGAGUAACACGUGGGUAACCUGCCUGUAAGACUGGGAUAACUCCGGGAAACCGGGGCUAAUACCGGAUGGUUGUUUGAACCGCAUGGUUCAAACAUAAAAGGUGGCUUCGGCUACCACUUACAGAUGGACCCGCGGCGCAUUAGCUAGUUGGUGAGGUAACGGCUCACCAAGGCGACGAUGCGUAGCCGACCUGAGAGGGUGAUCGGCCACACUGGGACUGAGACACGGCCCAGACUCCUACGGGAGGCAGCAGUAGGGAAUCUUCCGCAAUGGACGAAAGUCUGACGGAGCAACGCCGCGUGAGUGAUGAAGGUUUUCGGAUCGUAAAGCUCUGUUGUUAGGGAAGAACAAGUACCGUUCGAAUAGGGCGGUACCUUGACGGUACCUAACCAGAAAGCCACGGCUAACUACGUGCCAGCAGCCGCGGUAAUACGUAGGUGGCAAGCGUUGUCCGGAAUUAUUGGGCGUAAAGGGCUCGCAGGCGGUUUCUUAAGUCUGAUGUGAAAGCCCCCGGCUCAACCGGGGAGGGUCAUUGGAAACUGGGGAACUUGAGUGCANAAGANGAGAGUGGAAUUCCACGUGUAGCGGUGAAAUGCGUANNGAUGUGGAGGAACACCAGUGGCGAAGGCGACUCUCUGGUCUGUAACUGACGCUGANGAGCGAAAGCGUGNGGAGCGAACAGGAUUANAUACCCUGGUAGUCCACGCC
rnacentral:rRNA from 1 species